rnacentral:rRNA from 1 species
UACGUAGGGGCGAGCGUUGUCCGGAAUUAUUGGGCGUAAAGGGUUCGCAGGCGGUCUGAUAAGUCAGAUGUGAAAGGCUAUGGCUUAACCAUAGUAAGCAUUUGAAACUGUCAGACUUGAGUUAAGGAGAGGAAAGUGGAAUUCCUAGUGUAGCGGUGAAAUGCGUAGAUAUUAGGAGGAACACCAGUUGCGAAGGCGGCUCUCUGGACUGUAACCGACACUGAGGCACGAAAGCGUGGGGAGCAAACAGGAUUAGAUACCCCCGUAGUCCCU